CUUCCAAAAACAUAUUUUAUAGAAAUAAUUAUNAAUAUAGCCUGCUCAAUGUUCAAUAAAUAGCCGCAGUUUAUACUGUGCUAAGGUAGCAUAAUCAUUUGCUUUUUAAUUAAAAGCUAGAAUGAAAGGUAUUACAUUUAAAUUAUUAUAUAAACCUCCCUAUUCCAAUUUAUUUUAAAUGUAAAAAAACAUUUAUUUCUAAGAAAGACGAUAAGACCCUAUUGAACUUCACUUUAGUUUAACUGGGGUAGUUAAAUAAUUAAAACUUUAUAAUUAACAAACCAAAUGAUCUAAUCAAAUUAAUUUUAUGACUAAGUUACCAUAGGGAUAACAGCGUAAUAUUUUUUAAUAGAUCUCAUAUAAAAAAAUGAUUACGACCUCGAUGUUGAAUUAAUUAAUCUAAUACACGCAAAAG
rnacentral:rRNA from 1 species